CAGCUGCCAGUAAUUUUGUAAUUGUAGUAGGCUACAACUAAUAUAGUUUGGGUUAAUUUAAAGUUCUUAUAUUUUUAUAAUGCGAGUUUAUUUUUUGUUACAAAUACCCAAAUUUGUGUGAAUAUGUUAUUAAUUUCUUUAUUUUAUAUGCAAAAAUGUCCAUCCACAAGCAUAAAUCAAAUUUUUUCCACAUUUUCUUGUUGAAUUGGCUCUAGUUUCAUCCCUCAGGCUUACAAAUAAUAAAUAAAAUAAAUACUUUUAUACAUUAUGAUGUAUUCAAAAUAUUUAACCUUGUCAUCAUGCUUUAUGUGUGUAUAUAAUUUCAAACGAUGAUGUAUACAAACACGUUUUUUUUUUUUUUUUUUCAUUAUUAUUGUUCAUUGUUAAAGAUACAACUGGUAUUUUCCGUGAUCUUGUAUGUUAUUAUAGGUCCUGCAAUAAAAUAAAGAUAUGAGUGACAGUUGGACUAACACCUCACAGCACCAGUAACUCAUCAACCCUACCUAGUGCGGUUUUCCUCAGUGUUAGCAAUGUCUGCACAGAGGAGACAUCAGCAGCUGCUCGAAGAUCUCACCUUUGGAGAAGACUGUUGAUUUUAUACUCAAAAAAUCUGUGCCAAUUCUGCAGCUUUAUUCUGAUGAAGCAGCUGAUGAACACCUUCAUCCAUCAUGUCCCUCACUGCUGCUCUUCUCAAUGGAGACAUCGUUGAUCCAGAGGAGUAGGAAGAUGAUGAUGAUGGACCCCUGAACCCCACAACCUUAAAGCAGGAGUGGGAGAAGAUGUGCGGGACAAUAUGGCUCUGCUGUGUCUGAUCCAAACAUCCAUGUGCUCUCCAUCAGCAUGACUGAAUAAACAGAUGAAAACUUUUUA